rnacentral:rRNA from 1 species
ACGGCUCAGUAACACGUGGAUAACCUGCCCUUGGGUCCGGCAUAACUCCGGGAAACUGGAGAUAAUUCCGGAUAACGCACAUAUGCUGGAAUGCUUUAUGCGUAAAAUGGAUUCGUCUGCCCAAGGAUGGGUCUGCGGCCUAUCAGGUAGUAGUGGGUGUAAUGUACCUACUAGCCAACAACGGGUACGGGUUGUGAGAGCAAGAGCCCGGAGAUGGAUUCUGAGACAUGAAUCCAGGCCCUACGGGGCGCAGCAGGCGCGAAAACUUUACAAUGCGGGAAACCGUGAUAAGGGGACACCGAGUGCUAGCAUCAUAUGCUAGCUGUCCAGGUGUGUAAAAUACACCUGUUAGCAAGGGCCGGGCAAGACCGGUGCCAGCCGCCGCGGUAACACCGGCGGCCCGAGUGGUGAUCGUGAUUAUUGGGUCUAAAGGGUCCGUAGCCGGUUUGGUCAGUCCUCCGGGAAAUCUGAUAGCUCAACUAUUAGGCUUUCGGGGGAUACUGCCAGACUUGGAACCGGGAGAGGUAAGAGGUACUACAGGGGUAGGAGUGAAAUCUUGUAAUCCCUGUGGGACCACCUGUGGCGAAGGCGUCUUACCAGAACGGGUUCGACGGUGAGGGACGAAAGCUGGGGGCACGAACCGGAUUAGAUACCCGGGUAGUCCCAACCGUAAACGAUGCUCGCUAGGUGUCAGGCAUGGCGCGACCGUGUCUGGUGCCGCAGGGAAGCCGUGAAGCGAGCCACCUGGGAAGUACGGCCGCAAGGCUGAAACUUAAAGGAAUUGGCGGGGGAGCAC